rnacentral:sRNA from 1 species
CUUUCUAGGAUUUUUCUGCUUGAUACUCAACCCUGAGGAACCACCUUGAUCAAGAGAGGGGUUAAAGCCCGACGAGAAAUCCAGAGAAAUAAAUUCAGAACAUGGCUUCUCUAAAGGAGACUGCAUCAGUUGAGAAUGAGUUGCCGUUGACGAUCCUUGCAAUUCCUCAGGUAACAUCAAAAACUUUG